AGAGUUUGAUCAUGGCUCAGAAUCAACGCUGGCGGCGUGCCUAACACAUGCAAGUCGAGCGAGAAAGGGUAGCAAUACCUGAGUAAAGCGGCGCACGGGUGAGUAACACGUGGAUAACCUGCCUCGAAGUGGGGAAUAACCCCGGGAAACCGGAGCUAAUACCGCAUAUUCUGACGAGGUCUGCGGACUUUGUCAGGAAAGGAGCAAUUCGCUUUGAGAGGGGUCCGCGGCUGAUUAGCUAGUUGGUGAGGUAAUGGCUCACCAAGGCCACGAUCAGUAGCCGGUCUGAGAGGACGGUCGGCCACACUGGAACUGAGACACGGUCCAGACUCCUACGGGAGGCAGCAGUGGGGAAUUUUUCGCAAUGGGGGCAACCCUGACGAAGCAACGCCGCGUGGGUGAUGAAGUAUUUCGGUACGUAAAACCCUUUCGACGGGGACGAAACCGCAAGGUUGACGGUACCCGUAGAAGAAGCCCCGGCUAACUCCGUGCCAGCAGCCGCGGUAAUACGGGGGGGGCAAGCGUUGUUCGGAAUUACUGGGCGUAAAGGGCGCGUAGGCGGUUCGCUAAGUUGGAUGUGAAAACUCUGGGCUUAACCCAGAGCCUGCAUCCAAAACUGGCGAACUGGAGUACUGGAGGGGAAAGCGGAAUUCCUGGUGUAGCGGUGAAAUGCGUAGAUAUCAGGAGGAACACCGGUGGCGAAGGCGGCUUUCUGGACAGUAACUGACGCUGAGGCGCGAAAGCCGGGGGAGCAAACAGGAUUAGAUACCCUAGUAGUCC
rnacentral:rRNA from 1 species